rnacentral:rRNA from 1 species
AGCGAACGCUGGCGGCAGGCCUAACACAUGCAAGUCGAACGAACCUUUCGGGGUUAGUGGCGGACGGGUGAGUAACACGUGGGAACGUGCCUUUAGGUUCGGAAUAACUCAGGGAAACUUGUGCUAAUACCGAAUGUGCCCUUCGGGGGAAAGAUUUAUCGCCUUUAGAGCGGCCCGCGUCUGUUUAGCUAGUUGGUUGAGGUAAUGGCUCACCAAGGCGACGAUCAGUAGCUGGUCUGAGAGGAUGAUCAGCCACGUUGGGACUGAGACACGGCCCAAACUCCUACGGGAGGCAGCAGUGGGGAAUCUUGCGCAAUGGGCGAAAGCCUGACGCAGCCAUGCCGCGGGAAUGAUGAAGGUCGUAGGAUUGUAAAAUUCUUUCACCGGGGACGAUAAUGACGGUACCCGGAGAAGAAGCCCCGGCUAACUUCGUG